CAGGCUUGAUAAUACAAAAUGUGAACUCUUGGGGAGGAAAUAAUGAAGUAAAUGUCUCUUAGAGCAGAUCUGAAAGAUGAGAGAAAUGCAGUUGUGGUACCAGCUGAGGACUGAAGAACUAGAGCACAUGCAAGCUGCUUACUUUGGUUUUAAGGGAAGGAACAAUAACAACAACAAUAAGAAACUCAGGAAUACAUCUGUAUUUGGUGACACGACUAACAUGGCAUAUGAUAACCAAGGCUUCUACAGGUCCCAGGAAAAGUGGACUCGGGAUGUCAUCAUUCCUGGGUGUUGCAAAGACAGCAGUCACCUGCUGAAGGUAGCCAAGAACAGUGGUGCACCUGGGGCACACAUGGUACUGAGACAAAACCCUGCAUUGCAGACAGUGAACUCCAUACACGUUGUUGAAGUCUACAGUCAUAAGGAUAGUUGCAACAAACCAACCUCCCAGAUACCUGGAUAGUUGGUGUCUGAAAUGCAACUGCUUCUCUGGACCAAAAUGAAAUAUUGAUAGAAAUAUGUGCCUUCAAGACAACAUAGAAAGCUCAUUAUUCAUAUGAACUGUAAGUUUUCUAUAUUCCAAGAUGGUUAUUUAAGAGAAAUGCUUCCUCAAGGGCGGAUAAAAAUAAAGACACGAAUAUUGAGGCUGUCA
rnacentral:lncRNA from 1 species